rnacentral:rRNA from 1 species
GACGUAGGGCGCGAGCGUUGUCCGGAUUUAUUGGGCGUAAAGAGCUCGUAGGCGGCCUGUUAAGUCGAACGUGAAAUCCCUGGGCUCAACCCAGGAACUGCGUCCGAUACUGUCGGGCUAGAGUCCGGAAGAGGCGAGUGGAAUCCUGGUGUAGCGGUGGAAUGCGCAGAUAUCAGGAGGAACACCGAUAGCGAAGGCAGCUCGCUGGGACGGUACUGACGCUGAGGCGCGAAAGCGUGGGGAGCGAACAGG